rnacentral:tRNA from 1 species
CCGACCUUAGCUCAGUUGGUAGAGCGGAGGACUGUAGUUUGAGCAGAUCAAUCCUUAGGUCGCUGGUUCGAAUCCGGCAGGUCGGA